rnacentral:tRNA from 1 species
GGGGGCGUCAUGCAGAUGUUAGAGCGCUCCGUUAGCAUGCGAGAGGUACGGGGAUCGAUACCCCGCGUCUCCAAGGUCACCUUUU